UUAAAGCUGGUUAAAGGAACUUUUAUUUUGGAAAAAGAACUGCUGCUGUUUCAAGACAUGCGCACUAGCUGCGACAUCUAGUGACGACAUUUACCGGGCUUUAACGGUUGUUGCUGCAUGAAGUCUGCUGCAAUUUCUCUGAGAUUUCUCAAGAUCAUCAGUUUGGACAGAAUUCAUUUGAAGAAUUAAUAGCACUAGCAGGUUCCAAUAAAGGCUGGAACAGAACAGACAGAAAAGAAUCUGUUCAGAAAAAGUACUGUUCGUGCACCAGAUGGUGAAGUAGAAAAGUUCAUAAAAACUUCUGCAGCUUGCAUCUGACAGAGAUGCAAAAAGAAGAAGAGAGCGGGCCUGAAAACAAGCAAAUUCAAGGUUGUCAAUUCAGCAGAAAAGUUUGCUGUUCUCGCUGUUUACAGACAGGAGGUAAGCGCAUGUGAACACGCAGAUGACCUAUGG